UUAAGUGAAUAAGGGCGCACGGUGGAUGCCUUGGCACUAGGAGCCGAUGAAGGACGGGACUAACACCGAUAUGCUUUGGGGAGCUGUAAGUAAGCUAUGAUCCAGAGAUUUCCGAAUGGGGGAACCCAAUAUCUUUUAUAGGAUAUUACUUUUCAGUGAAUACAUAGCUGAUUAGAGGUAGACGCAGAGAACUGAAACAUCUUAGUACCUGCAGGAAGAGAAAGAAAAUUCGAUUCCCUGAGUAGCGGCGAGCGAAACGGGAAGAGCCCAAACCAACAAGCUUGCUUGUUGGGGUUGUAGGACUCCAAUAUGGUAGUCUGUUAGUAUAGUUGAAGGAUUUGGAAAAUUCCGCUAAAGAGGGUGAAAGCCCCGUAGACGAAAUGCUAACAACACCUAGGAGGAUCCUGAGUACGGCGGAACACGAGAAAUUCCGUCGGAAUCCGCGGGGACCAUCCCGCAAGGCUAAAUACUCCCUAGUGACCGAUAGUGAACCAGUACCGUGAGGGAAAGGUGAAAAGCACCCCGGAAGGGGAGUGAAAUAGAUCCUGAAACCGUGUGCCUACAACAAGUCAAAGCUCGUUAAUGAGUGAUGGCGUGCCUUUUGUAGAAUGAACCGGCGAGUUACGAUUGCAUGCGAGGUUAAGUCGAAGAGACGGAGCCGCAGCGAAAGCGAGUCUGAAUAGGGCGAAUGAGUAUGUAGUCGUAGACCCGAAACCAUGUGAUCUACCCAUGUCCAGGUUGAAGGUGCGGUAAAACGCACUGGAGGACCGAACCCACGUACGUUGAAAAGUGCGGGGAUGAGGUGUGGGUAGCGGAGAAAUUCCAAACGAACUUGGAGAUAGCUGGUUCUCUCCGAAAUAGCUUUAGGGCUAGCCUCGGAAUUGAGAAUGAUGGAGGUAGAGCACUGUUUGGACUAGGGGCCCAUCUCGGGUUACCGAAUUCAGAUAAACUCCGAAUGCCAUUCAUUUAUAUCCGGGAGUCAGACUGCGAGUGAUAAGAUCCGUAGUCGAAAGGGAAACAGCCCAGACCACCAGCUAAGGUCCCAAAAUAUAUGUUAAGUGGAAAAGGAUGUGGGGUUGCACAGACAACUAGGAUGUUGGCUUAGAAGCAGCCACCAUUUAAAGAGUGCGUAAUAGCUCACUAGUCGAGUGACCCUGCGCCGAAAAUGUACCGGGGCUAAACAUAUUACCGAAGCUGUGGACUACACCAUUAGGUGUAGUGGUAGGAGAGCGUUCUAAGGGCGUUGAAGGUCGAUCGUGAGGACGGCUGGAGCGCUUAGAAGUGAGAAUGCCGGUAUGAGUAGCGAAAGACAGGUGAGAAUCCUGUCCACCGUAUGACUAAGGUUUCCUGGGGAAGGCUCGUCCGCCCAGGGUUAGUCGGGACCUAAGCCGAGGCCGAUAGGCGUAGGCGAUGGACAACAGGUUGAUAUUCCUGUACCAGUUGUUUUUGUUUGAGCAAUGGAGGGACGCAGUAGGCUAAGGAAUGCAUGCGAUUGGAAGUGCAUGUCCAAGCAAUGAGUCUUGAGUAGAGUUAAAUGCUUUACUCUCUAAGGACAAGUUGUGACGGGGAGCGAAAUAAUAGUAGCGAAGUUCCUGAUGUCACACUGCCAAGAAAAGCUUCUAGUGAGAAAACAACUGCCCGUACCGUAAACCGACACAGGUAGUCGAGGAGAGUAUCCUAAGGUGAGCGAGCGAACUCUCGUUAAGGAACUCGGCAAAAUGACCCCGUAACUUCGGGAGAAGGGGUGCUGACUUCGGUCAGCCGCAGUGAAUAGGCCCAAGCGACUGUUUAUCAAAAACACAGGUCUCUGCAAAAUCGUAAGAUGAAGUAUAGGGGCUGACGCCUGCCCGGUGCUGGAAGGUUAAGAGGAUGGGUUAGCUUCGGCGAAGCUCAGAAUUGAAGCCCCAGUAAACGGCGGCCGUAACUAUAACGGUCCUAAGGUAGCGAAAUUCCUUGUCGGGUAAGUUCCGACCCGCACGAAAGGCGUAACGAUUUGGGCACUGUCUCAACGAGAGACUCGGUGAAAUUUUAGUACCUGUGAAGAUGCAGGUUACCCGCGACAGGACGGAAAGACCCCAUGGAGCUUUACUGUAGUUUGAUAUUGAGUGUUUGUACCACAUGUACAGGAUAGGUAGGAGCCGAUGAGACCGGAACGCUAGUUUCGGAGGAGGCGCUGGUGGGAUACUACCCUUGUGUUAUGAACCCUCUAACCCGCACCACUAAUCGUGGUGGGAGACAGUGUCAGAUGGGCAGUUUGACUGGGGCGGUCGCCUCCUAAAAGGUAACGGAGGCGCCCAAAGGUUCCCUCAGAAUGGUUGGAAAUCAUUCGAAGAGUGUAAAGGCAGAAGGGAGCUUGACUGCGAGACCUACAAGUCGAGCAGGGACGAAAGUCGGGCUUAGUGAUCCGGU
rnacentral:rRNA from 1 species